rnacentral:tRNA from 2 species
GGAGAAGUGCGGGAGUGGUUGAACCGGCACGCCUGGAAAGUGUGUAAGCUUGAAAGGGCUUCAAGGGUUCGAAUCCCUUCUUCUCCG